AUUGAACGCUGGCGGAAGGCGUAACACAUGCAAGUCGAGCGGAUGAAGGGAGCUUGCUCCUGGAUUCAGCGGCGGACGGGUGAGUAAUGCCUAGGAAUCUGCCUGGUAGUGGGGGAUAACGUCCGGAAACGGGCGCUAAUACCGCAUACGUCCUGAGGGAGAAAGUGGGGGAUCUUCGGACCUCACGCUAUCAGAUGAGCCUAGGUCGGAUUAGCUAGUUGGUGGGGUAAAGGCCUACCAAGGCGACGAUCCGUAACUGGUCUGAGAGGAUGAUCAGUCACACUGGAACUGAGACACGGUCCAGACUCCUACGGGAGGCAGCAGUGGGGAAUAUUGGACAAUGGGCGAAAGCCUGAUCCAGCCAUGCCGCGUGUGUGAAGAAGGUCUUCGGAUUGUAAAGCACUUUAAGUUGGGAGGAAGGGCAGUAAGUUAACACCUUGCUGUUUUGACGUUACCAACAGAAUAAGCACCGGCUAACUUCGUG
rnacentral:rRNA from 1 species